UCGGCAGCGGUAAAUCCGUCAUGCGCCGCAAA
rnacentral:scRNA from 1 species